UCUCUUCCUCAUCUCCCUCGCCGCCCCAUGACUCAACCAAGUCCUAUGUCUCAGCAAACAGUACAAGCAGCACACACGCAUGUGAACUCAACAGCUCCUACUCCACCUCCAGUCACAGCAGUGGAACCUCAAACACCAAACUCAUCAGGUCCUCUUCAUCAUCUCCCUCGCCGCCCCACUACUCAACCAAGUCCGAUGUCUCAGCAAACAGCACAAGCAGCACACACGCAUGUGAACUCAACAACGCCUCCUCCACCUCCAGUCACAGCAGUGGGACCUCAAGCACCAAAUCAUUUACGCCCUCUUGCGCGCUUCCCUCAAGCUGUAGCGCAAUCAAACACCAACGUGAAU
rnacentral:lncRNA from 1 species